rnacentral:rRNA from 1 species
AACGAACGCUGGCGGCGUGCUUAACACAUGCAAGUCGAGUGCGCGUACCGUAGCAAUACGGUAUGGCGCACGGCGCACGGGUGCGUAACACGUGGGCAAUCUGCCCUUCGAUGGGGAAUAACUCCGGGAAACCGAAGCUAAUUCCGCAUAACAUUCCUUGGACUUCGGUUCGAGGACUCAAAGCCGUAAGGCGUCGAAGGAGGAGCCCGCGCCCGAUUAGCUAGUUGGUGAGGUAACGGCUCACCAAGGCAAUGAUCGGUAGCUGGUCUGAGAGGAUGGCCAGCCACACUGGAACUGAGACACGGUCCAGACUCCUACGGGAGGCAGCAGUGGGGAAUCUUGCGCAAUGGGCGAAAGCCUGACGCAGCGACGCCGCGUGGGGGAUGAAGCAUUUCGGUGUGUAAACCCCUUUCGACUGGGACGAAUACCUCGCAAGAGGGGUGACGGUACCAGUAGAAGAAGGCCCGGCUAACUACGUGCCAGCAGCCGCGGUAAGACGUAGGGGGCCAGCGUUGUUCGGAAUUACUGGGUGUAAAGGGUUCGUAGGCGGUGUGGCAAGUCGGGAGUGAAAUCUAUGGGCUUAACCCAUAGGCUGCUUCCGAAACUGCCGUGCUUGAGUGUGGGAGAGGCGCGUGGAAUUGCAGGUGUAGCGGUGAAAUGCGUAGAUAUCUGCAGGAACACCCGUGGCGAAAGCGGCGCGCUGGACCACUACUGACGCUGAGGAACGAAAGCUAGGGGAGCAAAACAGGAUUAGAUACCCUGGUAGUCCUAGCCCUAAACGAUCAGGACUUGGGGUGCCACCCGUUCGGGUGUCGUCCCGGAGCUAGCGCGUUUAAGUCCUGCACCUGGGGAGUACGG